rnacentral:lncRNA from 1 species
UGGUCAAAGAAAAUGAAGAGAUGAAUUUCCCUUCAUGAAAAAGGCUGAAAGGAAGGCAGGAAAAGUGAUGACAAUGGCUUCCUGCUCAUCAAGUUCAGUUCAAGAAUACAGAAUACUAAAGAAGGAAAAAGAAUAUGAGAAGUAGGAGGAGGAUGAGGAGAAAAAGAAGAAGAUGAGUAGGGGGAGGAGGAGGAAUAUGACAGUAUCACAGAGAAAGGAAAAUUUUAUUGAUGAAACCAAAGAAACAGCCACUGUUGGAUUCUAGAAAACAUUACCCUCCUCCUCUGCAAACAAAAAGGGAUGAAGGCUGGGUGUGAUGACUCAUACCUGUAAUCUGUAAUCCCAGCACUUUGAAAGGCCAAGGAAGGAGGAUUUCUUGAGGCCAGGAGUUUGAGACUAGUCUGGCCAACAGAGUGAGACCCCAUCUCUACAAAAAAAAAAAAAAAAAAAAAAAAAAAGAAAAAAAGAAGAGAGCAGACAGGU